UAACUCCCUGUUCUGCAUCAAUCUUACGGGCUACUAGGGCGGGGUCGGCUGACUGGGCUUCCCUUAUUCUCUGUAUUAACUCGGGCUGGAUGGUCAGACGGCCCAAACAUACAACUCUCUUCAAGUCCUGAAGCCGAAUAUAUUGUGUGGCCCCAAUUUGCCUGUGUUCUGAAACCAUCAAAUGGGCUAAGAUACUUGCACUUUUCCUGCUGAAAGCAUCUGCCACCACGUUGCCCUUACUCAGAUGGUACAAGAUAUCACAAUC
rnacentral:lncRNA from 1 species